CCUGCUCGACGACGGUGGGCGAGAUGAAGUGGACAUGGGCGUCGACCGCUCCGGCGGUGACGAUCCGGCCGUUGCCGACGAUGACCUCGGUCUCGGGGCCGAUCACCAGGUCGGGGUGGACGCCGUCCAUGGUGUCGGGGUUGCCGGCCUUGCCCAGCGCGGUGAUCCGGCCGUCCCGGAUGCCGAUGUCGGCCUUGACGACACCCCAGUGGUCGAUGAUCACGGCGCCGGUGAUCACGGUGUCAGGGGCGCCCUCGGCGCGGGUGGUGCGGGCCUGGCCCAUGGACUCGCGGAUG
rfam:Streptomyces venezuelae ATCC 10712 complete genome